AAAUUUCCUUAGCCACUGUAUCCUCAAGGUGAACACUAUUUCUCUUGUAAUACAGCUCUUUGAUGUCCUUCAAGUCUUUCUCCGCCCUUGUGAUCACCACACGGGUUAGUCCAUCCUCAUCGGUUCCAAUCCUUUUCAGCGCACCACGCAAAACCUACAUGAUAAGGAUUGAAUUAAUUCAAUUAAUCUAUCAAUACAAUGUCACAUAAUGUGGCUACAAUUUCAUUUGCAUAGUGUAUAAUUUAAAAUCACUUAUGCUAUAAUAUGUUUAAUCUAAAAUGGAAUGUCUUUUCCAAGAAAAAGAAAAAUUAGUGUUAAUGUUACCUUUUCAUAGUACUUCUUGUGGUCAUCAAUGCAACGAAUUGCAACAUGCACAGCCUUAAGGAAGUCAUCAGAUGCUUCAUUCAAAAGUUUCUGCAACGACAGAAAUGAAGAAAAGUCACACUCGUUUGAAGGAAGACGAAAAUCGUAAUACUUGAGGGUGCAAAAGUACACUUAGACCUAUUUAUAAUGAAAUGAAAUGCACAUUCUGAAAAUCUUUGCAACAGUGAUAAAAACAUGACAAAUAUUUUUUGUAUUGUGAAAUUCUUUGCAAUAGAAUUCUGAUAUAUUCUGCAAAUCCUAACUUUGAAAAAAAAAAAAAACUUUUUCUCUUUGUUACCUUGCUUAUAGAAAAGCCAUGAUCAUCUCGGUAACGGUUGAAAGUUGCCUUAAGUUGAGUCUUGCUCCUUGUAAUAAGGAUCCUGAUAACUUCUUCAAUGUUUCCUUUCUUGUUUUUGACAGCCUCAUGAAGAAUAUCAGCUUCAUGUUUUGCCAAAAUUGGAUUGAUUUCAACACCAUCAUAUCUAAAUGAGCUCACCAAUCCAACCAAAAGCUGCCAAAAAGAAAAAACCACCAAAUCUUCAAACCAUCAAAUAGUACACGCAGGAAAUGACAUAUAUUACAGGGGUGAAAAACACUAUUAUCCCUACUUUUAUAGGUCACUGAAUCAUUUCAAUCUGACUUGCCUGUCGAUGAUAGCCAGAGGUAUGUGCAGCAACAUCUUCUUCCAAUGAAUUCUUGUAUCUGUUGUGGUAGGCAUGUCUUACAGCCAAAAGCUCUUGAGGUUGAAGGACAGAUGCAAUUUCCACAAUCACAUGGUAGUCUUUGUUAAUACUCUUAAUGGCUACAUUAGCCAACACAGCAUAACGGUCUGCUGGGUCCAAUAUCCACCUAUACAUAGCUUUCUGAUUUUUUUUCAAAGUCCCAUUAGUAUAAAUACAUCAUAUCUUAUACAUUAGUAUUUUUUAUAUAAUUAGUUUGUGUUCUUGUUAGUUAGCACAGUGGUUGAAAUACCUCAAAGUUACCAGAGAGUUCAGAUUCAAGGCGUUUGAUGAGAUCCUCUUGAUAAAUGUCCUGAUAAGCUUGUCUAAUUUGUUGCCUUUGAACAGCAUUUCUCUGACCCAUUAUAGCUAUGAUAGCACUCUCAUCAGUUCCCCACCCUACAAACACAUUAAAAUUAUUCUCAAUUAUUUUCAUUAAUAUUCAAUGGUUUAUAAGAUGAUUUUUAUUACAGAUUUUUAAGAAAAUAGGAAGCUAUUAGGGUUUGUUUUCCCUAUCUUAUAAAUGGUAUACAGCGGCAGUUAACUGCGGUUGGGCACAUUUUACAGCAGUAUAAUCACUUUUCAAGUCGAUUUCAGCCGACUUAAAAAGUGAUUGAACCAUCCAUCGGUAGUUAACUACCGCUACCGCUCGGUAAGUGUUUUAGCAAUUUCAAAAGUGGGAAAAGUAACUCUUAAUUACCAAUUUGAAACUCAAAGUAUCACUAUCAAAUUAACGGUAUUCAAGGGGAACUUUGAAUAAUCACUUAAGUUUGUAGAAACUUGGGAAGAUAUGAAAAAAUUUGUAUAUUCAUUCGGAAUUAAACUCAAAAACAUGAUAAAACUAAAAAAGAUAAAACAUUUCUACAAACUUAAGUGAUUAUCGUUUUUAUACUUAAUUGAUUAUACUAUUAAAUUAAACGUUGAGAAUUUAUCAUGGACUUGUAAGAUGGAACUUUGAACAAUUGAAUCUGACCUUUGACUGCCUUCCAAAGUACAUCUGCAUCUUCCUUAGGAGAAUGAUUCAUAGGAGCAAUGAGAGUAGCCAUGGUUAUCACAGCUUGAAAUGUUUAUUAUAUGAUCUGGUUAUGUAAAUUGAAUGCUUUUCGAUCAAAAGCGAUACAUAUUUAUAAUAGGCUCUUACAAUGUCCAUGGUCUACCCAAGUGAAAAGGUAAUUAAGAAGAUUGUGUUUUUAGACCAAUUUUUGUUAAAAAAUCUUAAAAUCAUAAAUGAAAUCAAUAUAUUCCUUUUAUUGAUGAAGACUCAUAAGGAAGUGUUUAGGUAGAUUUCACUUUUACUAUAUUUAUAUCCGAUGUCCUAAAAAUUACCAUCUAUGUUAUGAAAAAAAUACGGAGGGUUUAGAAUUUGCAAAAGACGCUUAUUUUCUGAAUCUUAUGGCAGAAUCAGAUGCUUCUAAUGUAGUUUUAGCGUUGAAUGUUCACUAACAAUCUCUCAAUUAUGUUGGCUCAAUUAUUCAAGAUUGUAUUAGUUUUAAUGGUAGUUUUCGUAGUUUAAAUUUUUGCAUGUCAGGCGUGAAGCCAACCAAUCUGCUCAUUAUUUAGCAAAAUAUCCUCUUAAGAAUUUAGAUUGCAUAUGGAUUGAAGAAACUCCAUCUUGUAUUUCUGCAGUUUUAACAUUUAAUUUAUAGCCACACUUUUGUUAAUGAAAUUGUCAUUAAUGUAAAAAAAAAAAAAAAAAAAUGCAGGGUAUUUUUGUUAUACAAUGUAAACAGAAAAUUAAUUAUCUGUGGUAGGUUUAUAUAACUUUUUUUUUUUUUUUUUGGAAAGAGGUUAUAUACCUGUUUGAAAAAUCACUUUGUUGAAUAAAUUGUUUAAAUGUUUAUGGGUUGUUUUUCUGUGUUUCAGUAUGUCUUGAGCAGCUUGUAAGUACUGUUUAGUAACGAACAAUACUUAACUUCGGCUCCGUCUACGGUGCAUGAUGUGAAUAGGUCAUGCACCCGUGAGAGAUGUAAUGCUAAUUUUUUUUUGUUUUAAGCAUUUAAUGGUAGCAGUUGGAUAUAUUAUAAAGUAAUGAACGGUUAUGAUUGAAUUUAAGAAUUACCUGUUAAAGUGGUAUUGUUCGGUAAUUCACCUUGUUACUAAGGUGAUAAUAAUAUGAUAAUACAAAAAAAAAAUUAUAAAGCACAGAUUAUGUAUUAUUAGGUGAUAUUAAGAAAUAAACAAACAAAUUGUUUCGUUCUUGAUAAAAAAUUGUUUCAUCAUACUAAUAUUUCAUUUUAUUCUACAUUUAUCCUUUUAUCAACAAAAUUAUCUUUAAUAUAUUAAUUUAAUUUUUAUUAUUUAUUUCGUCUCUUUUUAAUUGUCACUUUAAGAAUUUUUUUGUCUCAAAAUAAUUGACACUUACGAAUAUCAACAUCAAAUGAAAUAAUUGUCACUUAAGAAUAUCAAUGUAUCAUUUUAUUUUAUUUUGUAUUUAUAUACCCUUAUUUAUUGAAUUUUAUCCAAACACAACUACGCUACUUACUUAGACUAAAUUUCGUUCUACACGAAUUUCAUAAGAACUAAGAUUCUUAUUUAUGAGAAUCUUACUAAGACUAACUUAAUAAGUGCGGCAAUGGGGUUGAGCAGGGACGAGUUUUACCUUCACGAUCUCCAUGCCCUACUCUCAUAUACUUACCUUUUACCUUACUCAUAGAAAUAGUUGUUCAUGGCUACACAACUCUUAUAUAAAAGGGGUAAUAAAUUGAUUUUCUACAUUUAGGAUGGGUUUGGGUAUGAAUUUGGGGUGGAUAAAUAUAUCCUCGUUACCCAUCUUAUACCCGUGUUUUGAAAUCGGGAAAAACCCAAACUCAUACCCAAACCCAGUCAUACCGGGGAAAACCCGUCAAAUUGGGUUUGGUUCAGACGGAUGCCCGCAGAUAUGGAUUUUGUUGCCACGCCUAUAACUUAUGUUAUAUGAUAAUCUUCCAAAGAACUAAGAUUCUUAUCUAUGAUAAUCUUACUAAGAUUAACUUUGAAAUUUUGGCACGUACGUAGUAGAGAUGUUAUACACGAUGUCAAGACAAGUGUGAUGUCAAGAAAGAUGUCAAGACAUCGUGAUAACACAAAUAACAAUCAACAAAUGAAAGUAAAUGAUGCAUAAAGUAAUAUGGCACCAGUUGUUUGUUAACCCAGUUCAGUGCAACAUCACUUACAUCUUGGGGCUACCAAGCUGAUGUAGUAAAUCCGCAAGUGCACGGUUUACCGAAGUAGUAAAAAGAGUAUCGUUUCGAUAGUGAGUUAUGAAUUCAAUUAACUUUAAAUAAUGAUUAGAUUGAGAGUUUGAGAUUAAAAAUUUUGGAUUUUUAAUUGAAUGAUAAUAAUAAUAAUAAUAAUAAUAAUAAUAAUAAUAAUAAGGCAAAAUUACACAAAUGGUCCUAUAACUUAUUUUUAGGUAACGUUUUCGUCCUCUAUCUUUUUUUUUUCCCAUUUUCAUCCUUUAUCUUUUUAAAAUGUUUCACCGUUACCCUUCUGUUAACCAUCUGUUAAAAAAAACUCUAUUCUAAUUACCUUUUUACCCUUUUAUAAUUACUCUCUUUUUCUUUGUUAUUUUCAGAAACGCGUUCACACACAGAGAACAUAAACGCGAUUGAGAAGAAGGAAAAUAGAAGAUGAAAACCUAGAACACUAAGCUUGACGAUGUGAUUCGAAAAACCAGGAAAAUGCUACUAUUCGAUUUGAAAAGUUCUGCGAUUUGAAACGGCACAGAGUUCUGCGAUUUGAAGUUGCAAUCAAAAACCUAGAAACCCUAAUUGAUUUUGAUUCUGCGAUUUGAAGGUAUGUAUCUGCAAUUUAAUGAAUUUAUUUGUUUUUCCGAAUCAUUAUGUGUUUCUAAUGUUGCUUUGAUUCAUGAACAUGCUAAAAACCCUCUCUAUAUUUCUUGUUCUUUGUAGCAAACCACUCUGUUAUAUUUCUUGUUCUGUUUCUAUCUAAAGCAUGCUGAAAAAAAAUACAUUUUGAUUAGUUUACUAUCUAUGUCAUGUUGUAUGUUUUUAUGUGUUUCUACUGUUGCUUUGGUUAUUUAUUUAUGCAUGUUGCAUAUGUGGUCCCUAUUUUUUGGUAGUGAUUUGUUGUGGUCCCUACCUAUAUGUUUAAUAGUUUUCCAUUGAUUAUGUUUUUGUCAUUAUUCAGAUGUCUACAAUAUCCGUUGAUAUUCAUCAUGGUGGCUAUUUUAUCGACCAAUCAAAGAAUGUGUACGAAGGUGAAGUGUCAAAUUGGAUUUGUGACACUGACUAUUGGUGUUUUUUUGAUAUUGAAGAAUAUGUUGGCAAAUUGGGGUACAAGGAUAACAUUAGCAUGUGGUAUGAGGUUGGUGGUGUUAAAAAGUGCCUAUCAGAUGAUACUGGAGCUAAUGAAAUGAGUGAUUGGGCCAAGGGUAAUGGAAAAGUGCAUUUGUUUCUAGUACAUUCAGUGUCACAGCCCAACUAUAUUAUCUAUAGUGAAGCCCAACCUGAAAUGCAUGAUGGAGACUCUGAUGAUAGUGCCUUGGAUGUGGGAUUUGGAGACUCGGAUGAUGAGCUGCUCAUUAAUGAUGGUUUUGGUGAUGUACAAACAGAAGUUGAUGUUCUUGGGGAAAUAACACCAACUAUUGAGGAUAAUGAGGAAAGAAGGAAAAGGUUAGGUGCUAAAAAGAGGAAGGGGGCAGAAAAUGAAGGAAAUUCAAGUAAAAAAAAGAAGGCCCCAACUGGUAAGAAAAGAGGGAGACCUAAGAAGACCAUAGUUGAGAAAGAUCUAAACGUGGAACUAAGUGUAGAGCCAAAUAUUUUAAUUGAUGAUGAUGAUUUCAAUUGGGGUACAACGAAAAGGCAAGAGCUUGUGAUGCCACAUAGAGGGUUGUCUGACGAUGAGUAUGUGUCUGAAGAGUUAGUUAGUGAUGAAUCGGGAGAGAAUAGUGACGAGGAAAGUACUAAAAAGAAGUUUUCAGGUUUUGUCAUGCCAAAAAAUAUGCUCGACUACAAGUGGGUCUUGGGUACACUUUUCUCAGACAGAGAGGAAUUUAAGGCUGCAAUUGCAACUUAUGCUGUUCAUAAUGGGGUCGAUGUGAAGAUGAUCAAGAAUGAUAAAAUAAGAGUGAGGGUUGUAUGCAAGGACCCGUGUCAGUGGAUGGCUUAUUGUGCUAAACUUCCCGAUGAAGAUACAUGGCAAUUGAGGAAAUUGUAUGACAAACAUUCUUGUCCCAAGGAUUAUAAAGUCUCAUUAAUGAAAUCAAGUUGGCUGGGGAAAAGAUUAGAGUCAACAGUGAGGGAGACUCCUAAUAUUACACUGACAUCUAUUUCAAACAAAGCACAUCAAAAGUGGAAUGUUGGAGUGAGUAAGAUGAAAGCUUAUAGGGCUCGUAGGGUUGCAAUUGAUUUGGUUGAUGGAUCAUUUAGAGAACAAUAUCUUAGAUUGUAUGAUUACUCUCAUGAACUAAUGAGAUCUAAUCCACUAAGUACUGUCAAGGUGCAGAUUCAACCUACAAUGGUAGAAGAUAGACGGGAGAACAAUGAGGAAAUUUAUGUGGAUAGACCCUUGCUGCCAAGUUUCCAACGCCUAUACAUGUGUCUUAAUGGCUGUAAAGAGAGUUUCAAAGUGUGCAGGCCUAUUAUUGGCCUUGAUGGUUGUUUUCUUAAAGGUUAUUAUGGAGGUCAAAUACUUGCUGCUGUGGGUAGAGACCCAAAUGACCAAAUGCUCCCAAUUGUUGUGGCUGUUGUUGAAAGUGAAACAAAAGAUUCAUGGGAUUGGUUCCUUAAACUGCUAGUUGACGAUUUGGGUGGUCCAGAAGCAUGUAAUUCGUACACAUUCAUAUCUGAUCAACAAAAGGUUAGUUUCAAUAUCAUAAUUAUUUCUAAUUGAUUAUAAUAUUCAUAGUUGAUUAUGCAUAUAGACUAUAAUAUGAAUAACUUAUUAUACAUAUUGAUUAUUUGGUUUAAGGGACUUUUACCUGCCAUGGAGGCGCUUCUUCCUGAUGUUGAACAAAGGUUUUGUGUAAGACAUUUGUAUAAUAAUUUUAGAAAAAAGCAUCCGGGUAAGAAACUCAAGGAGUUAAUGUGGAAGGCAGCCAAGGCUACAUAUUUUCAAGCAUGGGAGAGGGAGAUGAAAGAAAUAAGGAAGGUUAGUGAAGAAGCUUAUAAAUAUUUGCUGAAGAUUCCACAAAAGCAUUGGUCGAAAUCAAGAUUUUCAUUCAAUUCAAAGUGUGAUGUAUUAGUCAACAAUAUGUCAGAAACCUUCAAUAGUGUAAUAAUUGGACCCAGGGGAAAGCCAAUUGUUACAAUGUUUGAAGACAUCAGAGGCUAUUUUAUGGAAAGGUGGGCAACAAACAGAACUAAGAUACAAGCAUAUGAUGGCUCUGUUUUGCCUAACAUAAAGAAAAAACUGCAGAAAGAGUGUGAGUUAUCAAAGAAUUGGGGAUGCAGGUAUGCUUUUGUCAUAUUCUAACUUUGUAAAUGAAUAUGUAUCUAAUAUGGUUCAGUUUUUCUAAAUGUAUGUUUCUGCUAAGUGCUUUUGCUUUUUGGUUUGUCUAAAUGCUAAGUGUUUUUCUACUAUAAUAAUAUCAUGAUUUCUUGCCUUCUGUUAUGAGUUUUUCUAAAUGUCGUAAUAUGGUUCAGUUUUAGACUUUUAACUAGUGUAUAUAUAUAUAUGCUUAUGUUUGACAAGGUUUUCGGCUGAGAAUAUCUAUGGGGUGUAUGCCCUCAAUCACACAGGAGAGUCCUUUACAGUAAGUCUGGAAAAGAAAGAAUGUUCUUGCAGGAAAUGGAUGCUUACUGGAAUACCUUGUUGUCACGCAGUAGCAAGCUGCAUAUUUGCCAAACAAGAUCCGGAAAACUUGAUUCCUGAUUGUUACAGAGUAGAGAAAUAUGAGGCUUGUUACCGUCCUAUCAUUUAUCCACCAAAUGGAAAGAACCUGUGGGUUUCAACUCCAUAUUCAGAUAUAUUACCACCCCCUUUAAGGAAACUUCCUGGAAGACCGAAAAGGAAAAGGAACAAAGAUGGUGAUGAGAAAGCGAGAGAUUCUUCACUUGUUAGUAGAAAAGGAAUGCCCGCUAGAUGUUCUACAUGCAAACAACCUGGUCAUAACAAAACUUCUUGUAAAGGGCCCUCAAUUCCAACUGUAACAAAUCAGACUCAAAACGCACCUAAUCAGAGCCAAACUGCACAACCUGCGCCUGGUGUUGGUCAGAAUGCAACACAGACCCAAACUGUUGCUACAUCUCAGAAAAAGCCUAGAGGAAGACCUCGAAAAGUCAAUGUUGCUGCAAGUACUCAGCCUGUUACUAGUAGUAUCUCUGCAACAUCAAAUAUGGUAACAAAUAUAUCUGGUGCAAAUUCUCAACCUACUGCAAGCUCAAGAUAUUCAACAACAACUCACUUUGCUAGACAAAAGAUGAAAAUAUGGAGGCCAUGAUAUUUGAUGACAGUUUGUUUAAUGUAUUUUUUGGGCAACUUUUGUGAUGUCUUACUUUGGAACCUAAUGUCUUUUUGUAUGCAGCUCUUGUACUGCCUUUAUGUUGGAAUUUUAUUACUUUCAAACCUUAUGUCGUUUUGUAAGCAGCUUGUACUGCCUUUAAGUUAGAAUUUGUGGCAGUAUGUAUUUAUGCAGUUAAUUAGUUAUGACUGAUUUUGUAACAAUGACAAAAGUUGCAUUAUGUUAUUAUGGGAGAAGUUAUUAUAACAAAAGUUAAUUACUAUUGAUACCAAUUGAUAUUAUUGCGUAUGAACCUAUUAAUUGAAACUACAUGACACCAAUUAUUUGACACAAAUUGGUAGAGGAAAUUAUUAUGGCAGCUGGGUUUUGUUUUUUGGUCUUGGUUUGGCCAUUUGUAAUUGCUUAUGUUCUGUCCGUAUCCGUCCAUGGCUUGUUAGUGCUUCUCGCACGGGCUAGUGGCUAAUAAUAUUUUGCCGAUUAAAAAAAAAAAAACUCUUGCAAAAUCAAAUGAGAUCAAGUCACCAAUUUGUUGACACUAACUCAUUCAGUCGGACUAUAUCAAUACAUAAUUGUUGAGUACAUUCAUCGAGUACAUUCAAUACAUAAUUUCUUAACAAUGAACAACCUUAUUUGAUCAACUUAAACAUAAAAGUUACACCAAAUAAAAGAUGAUAAUCAAAAUCUUCAUCCAACUUUUUGUUGAGUUGUGGUCCAUUUGCAUCUUCAGGAUAACAUUCUUAAGUGUCCUUGAUUCCAAUUCCAUUUGCAUCCAGAAUUAAUGUUACUAGCCUACAAUUUAUGAAGAAAAAAAAAACCAUUAAAAUUAAGGCAAAAUUAACUAGUGAUAACAGAUCUGAAAAGGAUUAGCAAGAGAGAACAAGGUAUGUAUGUAAUAAUAUGUAUGAAUACUCACCACAAAGUUCCUACAACCCCAAAAUUUCCUUCCUCUAUUAGGACCCAUUUUCGUCACUGUUCUAAUAACAUGUAGCAUCUUACAGAAACAUUCUCGCGUGAACAGGUUGCGUCCCCCAGAAAUGAAAGAACCGGAAAAUGAUUGUGUGUGUGAACCUUGUGUGCGUAAGGAUGCCAUGAAUUUUGAGAUUUGAUUUUUUAGGGUUCUUGCAGGUUGAAGGGUGAUUGAGAAGAAGCUUGUGUGAACAUUAGAGAAGAUGAACAUAACGUUAAUUUUUUUUUUUUAACAGACUAGUUAACAGAUUCCACUUAAAGGAUUGUUGUGCAACAUUUUAAAAAGAUAAAGGAUGAAAAUGAGAAAAAAAAAAAGAUAAAGGACGAAAACGUUACCUAAAAAUAAGUUAUGGGACCAUUUCUGUAAUUUUGCCUAAUAAUAAUAAUAAUAAUAAUAAUAAUAAUAAAAGCGCAUUGGGAUUUAUUGGUUCAUCUGGUAACAAACCCUUCACAAACCAAAUCCUAAACCUAGAACUUUAUGUUGGACCUACUUUCUAAAGACAAGUUUCUCUUAAGCCUAUCACAUCUCCUUUCGGUUUUAGUGAGUGUGUUCCUCUAGCAACCACGCCUAUUCUCAUGGUUGAUUGCUAUUAGAAUCCUUUAAGAACGAAACUUAUUUAUUGUCUCAAGGUUUGAUAGACUAUUCUCAUGUUUUGUAGACCUUGUCUAAUUUCACUUGUUCAAUAUCAAAACUUCUUCUUUCGAUGCUUCGCUUUGAUAUUUGUGAUGAUGAAUUAACAAGUAUUAACCCUCUGUUGUCGCUUUAUGAGUUUGAUACUUCUUAAUUCAUUAUAAAAACGGUGAAAUUAGAUUAGAAAUUAGAUUUACAUAAAAUUAGGGUUCGAUGCUUGGUUUGAUCAGGAUUAGGUCAUUAGACUCAUCCAACAAUCCAAAGACAAAGAAGUCUACUCACUAACGUUCAUUGUAGACAUAGAGAAGAAGAAGAAGAAUAAGAAGAAGAAGAACAUAAAAUAAAAUAAAGAAAUAAAGAUGAACUUUUAUUCAAAUAAACAAUUGUCACUUAUUAUUUCAGAGAACAAAAGAUGAUUUGUUGUGACUGCUAGCUACUCUAUUUAUAGUUUACAAUGACUUAAGACCUAAGAAAUAUAUCACUAGAAUGUUCCACAAGAAACCAUGGGCUUUUAGGUCAGGAAUAAACUAAUAGGUAGCUUGUCCAUGAAGCAGAAAGCAGCAAAAGGCAUCCUGAGAGUUGGCACGACCGUGUGGCUGGUGGCACGGGCCGUGCCAAGCUUCUGACUUGGGGGAGUCAUAUUUUUGUAUUGAAUCUUUGUAUUUUCAACCCGAAUCAGCUCCAAAUCCCUUUCUUUUGCUCCAAGACUCAAUCUUUAGAAUAUUUGUUCCUGAAAUUAAAUAACUUGCAAUUGAAGUAAAAUAGUUCUAGAAAGAAAAUAAAAACAAAUAAAAUUUAAAUAAAAUAGACUCGAAUAAUAUAUUUAAAACACUAAUUAUUGACUCAUCACAAGCCAGGAAGGAAAUUCACUAUAGUAGUAUCAAUUCAAAGCAUACAUAGAAACCCUUAGUCUACUAUCUUCUCACUUAAUCACUACCGGUGUAAUUUCUACCUACGACUCUCCUAGUGCUAGAUAUGAAAUUCCCUACUCAAUUCCUCUUACUCACAAUCACAGUGAUUCCCUACAUAAAAACCCUUGGUCUACUAUCAUCUCACUUAAGAAUAUCAAUGUAUCAAUUCCUCUUACUUCUUAAUACCACCUAAUAAUACACAAUAUGUGCUUUAUAAAAAGAUUUUUUGUAUUAUCAUAUUACUAUUGCAGUUACUUGAACAAAAAAUAUAUUACCCCUAAUUUAGUAACAUUUUAAGUAUAAGAAUGCAUGGCUAUUUUCUAUCAACCAGUAAAUCAAAUAAUUGAGGUGAAAUUUAAUACGCUGAAUUAUUUUCUGGGAUAUUCCAUCCAAUUGCACAAGGGUUCUUCAUAAAUUUUUAAUCAUUUCCAGAAACACCGUUUAUAAUAUUAUUAGAAAUUAAGGUACAUAUGUAUAUAAAUAAACAAGGAGAAUUACUCAUCAAUACCACUUUAACAGGUAACUCUUAAAUUCAAUCAUAACCGUUCAUUACUUUAUAAUAUAUCCAACAACUAGCAUUAGAUGUUUCAAACAAAAAAAAAACUAACAUUACAUCUCUCACGGAUCCAUGACCUAUUCACAUCAUGCACCUUAGACGGAGCCCUUAACUUCAGUUGAAGAACAAAUAAUCUUAAUCUUCACUUGGUGCUUGUGAGUAUCCUAGGUAUCUAAAGAGCAAUUUUCAAAAUAUUUCCGUCAAUAAUUUAAGGGAAUUACUUUUCCCACCCUAUAUGACCUUCUCCCGUGCCCCGUAAAAUUUCAAAAAAUGUCUUUGUCCAUUCCGGAUUUUAAAAUCCGGAUUCAUGUUUACUAUUUCGAAUUUUAUAAUUCGGACAAUUCUUAUGUAUAAUUAGCCAUCAGACUCUCUCACAUUUCAGCAGUUUUGAAUUUUGCUUUUAAAAACAACAAUAAAAUUAAGUAAAAAAAAUGCUAAAAACCUGUCAAAUAAAAUCAUAAAAAUAUAAAAAUAGCACCAAAAAAUUCUAAAAAUCAAAUAAAACUAAUGCAAAUUUUUUCGGAUUUUUCUAAGAAUAAAAAAGAUUAAAAAAAAUGAAAAAUAGGUCUAAAUGAUGGAAUUUUUUAUUUUGAGGGGCGGAGUCCCGUAAGAAGUUAUUUAUAAGGGAGCCAUGGUCCUUGAAUUUUUUCUGAUUUUCUGGGGAGGUUUCGGAGCAAACCGAUCAAGUACCCCGAAAACGCAGUUUUUGACUAAGAACAGGUAACAAUGACCAAAAACAGAAGGAUGAGAGUUAGGAAAAUUAAUAUUGUCCCUAAAAUGACUAUCCAUGUUACAAACAUGUUUAGAAUUUGUGCUGAUACAUUUCAGAUUAUAUAAUCCGAACUGUUUUACCUUGAAAAAGGGUGUUUAUUGGAUUUCCGAAUUACAUGUUUUUUUUUUAUGAAUCAAGAUAGCAAAAAAGACAUCAAGAAGACCCUAGACAUAUCAACUAUAGGUUGGUACCUAGUAGCUGCUCUCAUCCUCUACUAGCUGCUCUGAAAUUUUAUUAAAAAAGAAAAAAUUAUACAAGAUGGGGGACUAACUAGGCCAAAAUUGUUGAAAAUAACAACAAAAGUUGGAACUAAGGGAAUCUAAAAUUCAGUAGACCGUGUAUGUCCUUGUAAAAAUCCUGCCUAAAAAAAAUAGGUAAAGAAACCCACGAGACAACAAAUAUAAUAACGUGACCAUGACUAUAUAGAAGCAUCUAAUAUUCCAAUAGAAGACCUUCAUUGAGAAAGAGGAGUAAUUGCACCUUUAGACCGGAUUUUGUAGGACACUCGAUAUAGUUCUUUUUUCUGCUUUUUAGUUAGGUAAGGUGUAAGUUGUUCAUUAGAAGUGGUAAAAGAUGAUGUCGUAACACAUGAUGUAUUCAACAACUGAAUUGGCUCUAAACAGUUAUAUGUUUAUUUUGCGAGAUUUUAAACAAUUUUGCAGCGGUUUUAGUUUUCGGCAGAUACAAAUCUCCGCAAAGUGGUGUGUGACCCACCUAGAGAAAUUAAGAAUCAUAGGUCCAUUUUGAGAGAUUUUAAACAAUCUUUCAUUGGUUUUCGUUUUAGGCGGUUCUUAAAGUGGCAUAUGUGAUUUUUGUCAUGUUUAUAACUUGAUUGUUUAGCGCAAGUUUCUAAACCUUUUAAUACGUGGGGGUUUCAAAUCUUCUUUAUAUUGUCCUAGCAACAUAAAAUCCCCCAACCUCCAAUUAAUAGCUAUACUAAAAAAAAAAUCAAUUACAUAAUAUAUAGCAGUAGUAAAAUAUGCAAUUCACUUUUUAAAAAUAACCACCCAAACAUUUUAGUGACACACCUCUACUUCAACUUCGUGCUAAAUACUCUUAUUACAACUUUAAUUGUGUAUAUAUAUUAUAGUUUAUUUUAAUGGUUCACCUAAACUUUUUUUCAAACUCCGCCAUCAAUCAAACUUGUUAAAUUACUGGUUAAUAACUUUCUUUUUGCCGGAUAAAUAGAUAAUUUAUUAUUAAAAAAAAGUAUAGGGUGUAGUAUCUGAGCAUACGAACCUUUCUAAGGGUGAGUAGAGUCCUUCUACUUUGAUGAUUCAAUAAUUAUGGGAAAAAAAAAAAUUCAUCUAUAGAAUUUUCGAAUAAACAAAAUAUGCUUUUUUAUUUAAGAAGCCAAAAUAACUAAUCAAAAAUGGUUCAACUAACACAAAGUAUGUCAAGAAAAAUCAUCAAAAACAAAUACAAAGUUAUUAUCCUGGUGCCAUAUGCUUUCUUUGAAAGUGCCUUAUAUAUGCUACAAUAAAUCUUUAAUGAGUAGGCCUGUCAUAUACAAACACCAAUUCUUGUACAUAAUAAUUACCAUUAAACUUGCAUGAUUCCAACAUGUGGCCAUCUGAAGGAUUGUAAAAUGACGUUUCUCUUGUUUGGUUAGUUUUGCAUUGACACCUUCCUUGUUUGGCUUAUUAUUUUAGUAGUUUUUGGGUACAAGGUCAUUGUCACAUAGGACGAUUAAUUCGAGGAUUUUUUUUCUUUGGUGAAAAAUAAAAAAUUCUUAGUUACCUUUAUCAAAAUCAAAAUACAUGAUGCACACUUUGAACCUCUUGAUUUGAGAAUCAUUGACACCAAUCUUGAUUGACCAUCCAAUCUUCUUUGACCAUCCAAUCUUGAUUUAAAUGAAAUGAGUUUCAACCUUGCAAAACUUUAAAUUUGAUGUCGGUGAAUUCGAGAUUCUUCAACUACAAAGAAUUUAAUUCAGAAUGUCUUAAGUUCGAAUAAAAUGAACUAUAUUCUAAAAUUUAACAGAGCACGAAAUCCUUAAUCUUAUCUAACAAUUAACAUGUCUACGACAUUGUUUUAUUUUUGAGCUUGUUCAUCAUGUAUUAUUGAUAAUGUUUGAAACUUCAAAUAAAGUUUUCAAGUCAAAAUGAACCAUCAAACAUACCAUCAACUAUAUAACUUUUAAGUUCUCAUAAUGAAAGAAAAACUAAAACCACAUUCAACAAGAUAAACCAAAACAUCACAACUUUAAGUCUUGAUUAAACUAUUAAGCACAAGCUCCAUCAAGAGAAGGGAAAAACUCAUUCCUCUUUCCCCAAGAGAGUGAGAAGAAACUUCUUGUAAUCCCCUGAAGUUUCCUUGGCCACAACAUGCUCAAGAAGAACACUGUUUCUUUUGUAGUAAACAUCUGAGAUGACUUUUAGGUCAUGCUGAGCUCUGCUCACAAUCACACGGGUCAGCGCAUCCUCAUCAGUUCCAACCUUCUUGAUUGCAUCUCGCACCACCUACGAUUUGAUCAGAAAAUGUAAAGUUCAAAUCAUUGUAGUAACAAUAUUUUGUGGACAUGGUAAAGCAUUUUAUAACGAGAGUGUAUCAAAAUUAAACUCUAGAAGAACAUUUUAUGAAUGGUUCCGAUUUGUUUUCAAUGUACAACUUUUACCUAGACAAUGUAUCAAAAUUAAAUUCAUCGCAGAAAAAUGUGAGAGAUCUACCUUUUCAUAGUACUUAACAUGAUCAUUGAAGCUACGGAUGGUGGUAUACAAUGCCUUCUGAAAUUCAUCAGAUCCUUCAUCCAACAGCUUCUGUAAAGAUUAAACGGACACAAAUUUAAAUAACGAAUCAUAAUAUCAUAAUUUUUUUAAUAUCGUAAUCUUUUUAUUAUAUACCUUAGUGAUGGAAGUACCAUGAGUCUCUCUGUAGCGGUUGAAUGUCGCAAUCAGCUGGGUUUUGCUCCUUGUAGUCAAGAUCCUUAUGGCUUCUUCAUGGCUUCCUUUCUUCUCUUUCACUGACUCAUGAAGAAUUCCAGCUUCAGUUUGCGCCAAUUUUGGAUUGAUCUCAUCACCAACAUACCUAAAUGCAGUCACUAGCCCUACCAAAAGCUGCUCAAAAAAUCAACCACAAAAUCAAGAAACCAUGAUUUCAAGAAAUAUCACAUUAUGUUAAAUUCCUAAUUUUCAUAUAUGUAAUUGAAAUCAAUCUUUUGUCCGCGAUCAUGAUCUAAUAUUGCAUAUUGUUAAGAGUUAAUGGAAAAAGGACUUGCCUGGCGAAGAUGGCCGGAAGUAUGGGCAGCCAAAUCUUCUUCCAAGGAGUGCUUGUAGCGUUUGACGUAAGCACGUCUCACAUUCAAGAGCUCUUCGGGGGAGAGAACAGCAGAAAUUUCCACAAUGACAUUGUAAUUUUUGCCACUCUUGAUAGCAACAUUUGCCAAAACAGCAUCACGCUCCGCAGGUUCAAGAAUCCAACGGUACACAGCUUUCUGUUCCGAAAUUCAUCAAUACACAAAAUAAGUUUCAAAAACAUGUCUAAUAGAACAUUGACAAUAUCAUGUACCAAAGAAACAGACAUAAACAAUUUCAUUUUUUUCAAUGUUAAUCAUCAUGGUAAUAAAUCAAUAUGAUACCUCAAAGUCUCCUUUGAUCUCAGAUUCCAAUCGUUUGAUAAGAUCCUCAUUGUAAAUGCCUUCAUAAGCUUUUCUGAUUUGCUGUAUCUGAUUAGAGUUUCUAUGACCAAGUAUUGUUAUCACUGUCUUCUCAUCAGUACCCCAUCCUACAAAAAUUAAUCAUCCAUCAAUUUUAAUACAACAUAAUUUUAUAAAUUCAUCAACAAUUCUAACAAAUUUUCAAUCAAAAAACAAUUUAACAUAUUGCAAUGAAGUAUUUGAGAUUAGACUGAAAUUAAAAUGACAAAUAAAAUCUAUAUAAACAAGAAAAAAGGGGAUGAUAACACCUUCGAAAGCCUUUCUUAGAGCUUCAGCAUCUUCAUUGGGAGAAUGGUUGCUAGGAGCAGAAAGGGUAGCCAUAGUUCAAUAUGUAUUGUUUAUAGUGCUAAGUAAGAAAAUGUGAUGAAGAAAUCUAAGUCUAUGGCUCUUCUAUUUAUAAUACUAUGAAAACAAAAAUGAAUACAUACAUCAUAUGUAUAUGACCUUUUUCAUAGACCAGAUACAUCAUUUAAUUAAUUAAUUCAAAAUGUUUAUUUUUGUUUAUUAAAGUGACCAGAGGGUGUAUUUGUCCUGUAAGUGACAUCCGAUAAAACCAAAACGGUAUAAAGAAAUAAAUGUAUCCUUGGAAAGUAAAAUAUUUUUUUGUCGGCGAUGAGCUAAUUUUUGGUCGGCGGUGAGUCAUUGGGACCAGACUCAAAUCAUCAUGUAGACCAAAAAGGUACGUUAAUCCAUAGGAGACAUUCGAUAAAAUUAGAACCAAAGACUUAAACAUAUUUAGACGGUGAGACAUUUUAUAGUUGCUGAUGAGCCAUCAAGACGGGAACUCUAUGAACUCAAAUCAUGUAGACAAAAAAUGCAUUUUGUCUCUAAACUCCUUUUAAACGGUGAAAUGUUCUCCAAUACGACGAGUCAUCAGAAUUGAAAUCGGGACUCAACUCACGUAAACUUUUCUCAUGAUAGAAUUGUGCAAUUAUUUUGAGAAAGUGAUAAAGAUUGAAAAUUCUAUAUAUGCUCUAAAUUAACUUUUUUUUAUCACUAUGGUCCAAUUCAAUGCAUUGGAAAUCUCAUUCAAGACUUAUAUUUGUACAAUAAUUUAUCACAUUGAUUCUUUUUCCUUUUCAUGUUGAGCAAACGGAUUCAAUUUCAAAGGCAAUUUUGGCAGUACCUUAAGAGACCAAUCUGUAAACAGCAAAUAGUUAAUUCAUUGAUAUUAGUGAUAUCACUGCCACGUACUAUCAAAGUGAUCAAAGCACAAAUCAAUGUCACAGGGACGGUGAACCAUAUAUAAAUGGUAUUCUUCCAUUUAUAAUAUGGUCAAAUUAUAAUACCAUAUGGAGUAUAAUUGAUUGCAACUUUUUCCUUCUUUGUAAAUGGCAUAAAAUUGGUAAAAUUGAUAACUAUAGAAAUGUGGAUUGGUAAAAUUGGUGAGUUUAGUAGGAACGAGUGAAAAUAAAUAGAUGAUGUUUUGGUACCUAAUUGUGGGUUAGGUACAUUAUAAAUAAAAUGAGUCAUGACUACCCUUUUGAGUAAAAAAAAAAAAAAGAAAGGACAUUGAUGAUGUUUUGUCUUUUAAUGUUCUGUGUUUUCAUUUCUCCUUCAUAUAACAAAGUGAAAAAAAGAUAGAUCCAAUAUUUUUUUCACUAUUUCCUUUUACAAUUUUUUACAACAAAUCUAACAUUUUUAACGAUUUUGAAUAUGCCCGUUUACAUAUUUUCUCAGUCAUAUUUUUUUAUUGCAUAAGUCUUUCGUCUCCUUAUUAAUAAAAUUGUUUUCGACAAUUAGACACGGCCUUAAUUUUUGGUUUCACGCACACAAAAUAGCAAGAACAACGACAACAACCAAAUCUUAUUUGACUAAAUGAAUCGGUUACAUGGUUGAAUGCCAUAAUACUCUAUCAUAUACUUUCGUCCAUACAAAACAUGCUAUAAAAAGUUGAGAUACCUCACAUAACACAAGUUGUGUACUUGUGUUCUUAUUAGUAAGAAAAGGAAGAAAAAUUUGUUACACUAACCAACCAAAGAUAACUAUCUCAUCUUAUGAAUAUGAUGAUGCAGCAAAGUAUAUUAAUUAAUUUUUCCAGAAAGAAACAAACAUAUUAGGUUAAAGUAUCUACACUUUUGUGGUUUCAGUAUGCAAAAAUGAUUAUAUAUUAAAAAAAAAAAUCUUUGAUGCAGCAUAGUAUGCUGGUUUUAGUUUGGACUUUGAUCUUUGGAGUACCUCAAACCACAUGUUAUUCAUAUAGAACGUCAGCGAUUGUUCAACUACUCCUAUUAUCGAUUUUUCUGGAAGCAGUGGUUUUUUUUAAAGGUUUUCCAAAACAGUGUUAAAAUAUAGAUAAAUAAAAUAAAAUAUUUAUCUAUUUCGACAAGAUAUUUUUCAUAGAAGAUAAAUACAUCACCUCUUCAACUUCUUGAUCUUAUAAACAGAAAAAAGUUCUUAUCCUUAUUUUAUUUUUUUGACAGACUUGAUCUUGAGAUUGAUCAAAAGCCAUUUUGUUUGAUUUUUUAUUUUUUUUUGUAUUAUAGAUUUUGAAACUUUCUAGUACUCAAUAAUAUUAAAUAUUCCCUAGUAUCGCAAUCAAUAAAAUGAAUUCAAUUUAAUUACUUAAUUGUUCAAAGUUAGACAAUAAUUGCUAAAAAAAAUAGGUUUUUGUUUGUCUUCAACCCUCUAGUAUGAGAAGGAGGUAUUGAGAUAUUGUUGAGAAUCGGCUGGAGUUUGUUAACCUACCCAAUCACUUUGUCAUUAAAAAAAAAAAAAGGCUUAAUUGCAGUUUUGACCCCCUAUGUUUUAAGAAGUUGCGAUUUUGGCCCCCUAAUUAAAUAAACUACAAAACCGCCUGCUAAGUAUUGACUUUUUCGCAGUUUUGGCCCCAUGCCAAUUUUGACCAAGUCAAAGCUGACGUGGACGCCACACGUAUGUAUUUAUUUUCAAGUGGCGUCCAUGUGUGUAUUGACUUUGCCAAAAUUGGUCUGGGGUGCCAAAACUGCAAAAAAGUCAAUACUUAGGGGGUGAUUUUGUAGUUUAUUUAAUUAGAGGGCUAAAAUCUCAACUUCUUGAAAUAUAGGGGGCCAAAACUACAAUUAAACCAAAAAAAAAAUAUACUCUAUCACUUGGUUUGAUAAACAUAGAAUAAAAAAAUAAAUAAAUAAAGAAAUUAAAACCAAUUUAUUUAUUUUUUGGUUCCAACAAAAUUUCUUACUAGAAUUUAAACUUAAUCACAAUUUCAUUAUUCAACAAUCAUAAAAUAAAAAUAAAACGUAAGGAAAUGCAAGUUAUAGACACAAUGAAACUAUAGAAAUUAAGAAGAAUAGGAACAUAUAAUAAUAAUUAAUUGGUUAAUACCUUCGAAGGACUUGUGGAGAAGCUCAGCAUCUUGAACAGAAGCAGUUGAAUCUUGAACAACAAGUGUAGCCAUUGUUGAUUCCCUCUUUCUUUUGUAAAUAAGCCUUUCUUGUGAUUAUGAAAAGAUAAAAAAAAAGAAGUGAUGAUGGAUUGGAUUAAUACGUUAAAGAAAGGCUUUGGGAAUUAAACGUUCAUUCACGGCUAUAAUAAUGUUUGGACUUCGGACGUUACGUACUUUUGAUUUUGUAUAUGAUUUAUUUUUAUUAUUUAUUAAUUUUAAUAUUACUAUUACUAUUCUAUACGUUAUGGAUAAUUUGGUAUCCUCUUUGGGUUUCAAAUCAUGGCAAAAACUCAUGACCAGCUUCACAUGUUAUUUAGGGUUCAUCACGUAAAAAUAAUGUGUGAAAAGCAUGUGUCAUCUUGUUAUGUCAUGAUGAAGCUUUUUUUUUUUUGUCCAUAACAAUCGCGUGAGGAAUCCAUUUGAAAUUCAUUGAAAACUUGUGUCAUUGUAUAGGUGCUAACUCCAAUAAAUUAAUUAUCUACCACUUAGGUUUAAUUUGGUAAACCUCAAAAGUUACUUAUAACGGAUAAGUUGAUAUGUCUAAAAUAGUCAUGUUUGGUAAUUGUCUUUUAAUAACGAGUUUAUAGUUUAUUUUACAAAUUUAUAAUUUAUUUUAAGUAGCGUUUGAGCUUAUAGCUUAUCAUUUUUUAUUCUAUUUUUAUCUUUAUUAUUUUAUCUAAAAUCCAUUUUCACCCUUUAUUCUUUAUUAUAAUUAAAAAUAAUAAGAACGAUAAUUCAGUGAAGUAUUUUUAAAGAAUCGGUGUAACUGUUCAUAUUUUAUUUUUUACGAUAACUGUCCAUAGUUUUUUUUUUCUUAGUUUUCUUUUUUAAAACAAGAGUUCAUAGUUUUUUCUUAUAUUCCUUCAUCAUCGUUAAUAAAUUUCUUGUAUAUAAUAAUACAAAUAGAUGAUAAUACAUUCUCACCACCAAAAAGAGAAAGAUGAUAAUACAUUCUGGUAGUAAUGUGGUUUAGUUUGGUUUGUAGAUCUUAAAGGUUCUUUUCUGACACACCUUAUGAUAGUAAGAACUCUUAGUUGGUGUUAAUAUAAUCCAUUUUCAUAUGUUAAAAAAAAAACAUUCUCGUAACAUCCAUCGUGACAUUUAUUUUCUUUAUAAAGUAUAUAGACUUAAAUGAAAUCUUAUAAGGACGGUAUAUAGACUUAAAUGAAAAAAAAUUAGAACCAUAACAUUUUAGCGAAUUAAAAUUAGUUUAAUAAUAUAAAUUAUAUUAAUAAAUUUAAAACCCUAAAUUCUAAAUACUUGAUAUAAGUUUUAUUAUGAAUUAAGAAUGUACACUUAUAUCAUUUUACAUUUAUUAGUUAAUUGAACUGCUAAUUUUACCAAACAUUUUAAUUAGUUUAUAUAAAUCAUCAAUCAUCAGCUAGUAGCUAUCAAUUAUCCGCUAUUUUUACUAAACAGAAUCUUAAUAGCGAAAGAGUUCGCAAAUUUGUUUUGUUCACAAAGCCUAUUCCUAAAAGGAUUGCUUGAUCUUUCUUAAUUAGUUGAUAAUAUCAUUCGAAUGGAAGAACUGUUAUAGAAGCUUCUAUCCAAAGCGGACAAUUGUUGAAUUAUAUUUAAAUUCAUUGACGUGUGUAUUUGAAGGUCUUUAUUUUCAAGUGAACUAUGUUAAUUUUGUUAUUUUCGUCCGUACUCUAUUUUAUUUUGUUCUUUAUCUCGUUAGUUUCUUCGUUUCUAUUUGUUUUUUAGUUUGUCUCGUUAUGAUUGAAUUUACGUAGAAAGUUUUAUUUUUAGACCAAAUCCAUGAUUAGUUGGUGCGACUAGAAUGCUCAAUCAUCUUGGCCAAUAUUGGCUUUUAAGAGAGAAGCAUGAUACAGUAUUAUUGAUUAAAUUUGGUGUAUAUUUUGAAGAAAAAAAAAUUGAUAGGGAAAUAGGAAAUAAAACCCAAUUGUACCAAUAUCAUUCAUGUUCAUUUUUCAUUCAACUGGUGAUUUAAGUUAUUAUAUGGUGUUCAUGCCAUUGAUUAAUUGUAUCAUUAUGCUUGAGCUUGAAGCCAUAAAUAAUAAUUCUCUUAAUAUGUUGGAUUGGUAAUUUUUCUAUCCAAAAUAUUAUGUAAUUUUCACCAUUAAAUUUUGUAAUUCCACCAUUCAUUCAACUAGUAAUUUAUUAAAAUAGAAGUACAAAAUAUCUCUCACACAGCCAUGAGACUCAUGAAAACAUGAUAUAAAUAGACAAAUUAACCAAACCAAACCACAAGAAAGAAACCAACAUAUCCAAAUCCCAUUAUUACAAAUAUAUAUGCCUUAACAAGAUCAAUUACUUCAAUCUUGCUUCCCCAACAAGGUAAGGAUGAACUUCUUGUAGUCUCCUGAAAUUUCCUUUGCCACUGCAUCCUCAAGGUGAACACUGUUUCUCUUAUAAUACAGCUCUUUGAUGUCCUUCAGAUCUUUCUCGGCUCUUGUCACGACCACACGAGUCAGUCCAUCCUCAUCGGUUCCAACCCUUUUCAACGCACCGCGUAGAAUCUAAACAUCAUGGUAAAAAAAAAAAAUCAAGGAUAAUCAUCGAUUAAAAUAUGUUACAAGUUUAUGUGUGAGACGGUGUGAAAAUAGUCCUUGAACAAAUUGAAAGUCAGAAACUA
rnacentral:lncRNA from 1 species